CCUACGGGUGGCUGCAGUGAGGAAUAUUGGUCAAUGGCCGAGAGGCUGAACCAGCCAAGUCGCGUGAGGGAUGACGGCCCUACGGGUUGUAAACCUCUUUUGUCGGGGAGCAAAGCGCACCACGUGUGGUUCAUUGAGAGUACCCGAAGAAAAAGCCUCGGCCAACUCCGUGCCAGCAGCCGCGGUAAUACGGAGGAUGCGAGCGUUAUCCGGAUUUAUUGGGUUAAACGGGUGCGCAGGCGGAGGUGCAAGUCAGCGGUCAAAUUGCGGGGCUCAACCCCGUACUGCCGUUGAAACUGCAUGCCUUGAGUGCGCGAGAAGUAUGCGGAAUGCGUGGUGUAGCGGUGAAAUGCAUAGAUAUCACGCAGAACUCCGAUUGCGAAGGCAGCAUACCGGCGCGCAACUGACGCUCAUGCACGAAAGCGUGGGUAGCGAACAGGAUUAGAUACCCGAGUAGUC
rnacentral:rRNA from 1 species